rnacentral:rRNA from 1 species
CGCGUAGGCGGCUAUUUAAGUCAGAUGUGAAAGCCCAUGGCUCAACCAUGGACGUGCAUUUGAUACUGGGUAGCUUGAGUACUGGAGGGGGUGGUGGAAUUCCCGGUGUAGAGGUGAAAUUCGUAGAUAUCGGGAGGAAUACCGGUGGCGAAGGCGACCACCUGGCCAGAUACUGACGCUGAGGUGCGAAAGCGUGGGGAGCAAACA